UUUUCAAACCCGUGAAAUCCUCCUAAGCAGUUUCACUUUUAGAGGAAACUUUUCCAUACACCAUUGACAUACACUUAUGUUACAUUUUGCCAAUCAUGUAAAUGUGCUGAUACUGGCCACAGGAUGCAUCUGAUAUUUCAUUCAUUAGGUUGUAUUGAAGACUUUUUUGCAGGGGAAGAAAAUUAAAAACAAACAACAAUCCUGGUUUUUGCUGUAACGAAGAAAAAAAAAAAAGGCUGCUUGCUUCUUACACCCACUGCCCCCUCCCCCCAUUCCCUCCCAUCUGGAGACCACUGAAUAGUUUUUUUAUUUGUGUAGUUUUGCAUCUUCCAGCAUGUCAUAUAAAUAGAAUCCUAUAGUAUACAGCCUUUGAGUCUGGUCUUUUUCACUUAGCAUAGUACAUUUGAGAGUCAUACCUGAUUUUGUAUAUAUCAAUAGUUUGUCCGUUUUUGUUGUUGUUGUUUUUUUUUUGUCUUUUUGCCUUUUCUAGGGCCGCUUCCCGCAGCACAUGGAGGUUCCCGGCUAGGGGUCGAAUUAGAGCUGUAGCCACCGGCCUACGCCAGAUCUACAGCAAUGUGGGAUCCGAGCCGUGUCUGCAGCCUACGCCACAGCUCACAGCAACGCAGGAUCCUUAACCCACUGAGCAAGGCCGGGUAUCGAACCUGCAACCUCAUGGUUCCUAGUCGGAUUUGUUAACCACUGUGCCACGACAGGAACUCUGUUCGUUCAUUUUUAUUGCUGAAUAAUAUCUUACUGUACAUCCAUAUAGUAAGUAAGUAAUUUGUUUACUCAUUCACCAAUGGAAGGACAUUUGGGUUAUUCCCAAUUUUGAGUGACUGUAUAAAUCUGCUAUAAAGGGUGGUGAACAAGCUUUUGUAUGGACAUAAAUUUUCAUUUCUCUUGUACCUAAGCAUGGGAUGGCUAGGUAGUAGGGUAUUAUGAGAUUGUAAACUGUUAACCUUUCUAAUAGGUGUGAAAUGGUUCCUCAUGUGGUUUUAGUUUGCAUUUCACUAAUAACUAAUGAUGUUGAACACUUUUUAAUAUGUAUAUUUGUCAUCUGUCUUCUCUGGUGAAAUGUCUCCAAGUCUUUGGGCCAUUAAAAAUAUUGGUUGCUUAUAUUUUUAUUUUUAAGUUUUAAAAGUUCUCUUUUAUUGUAAUUUUUAAAAUUGAGGUAUAAUUCACAUAUAACAUGUUAGUUUUAGGAGUACAGCAUAAUGAUUUGACAGUUGUAUAUAUUACAAAAUGAUCACCACAGUAAGUCUAGUUAACAUACAUUAUCAUACAUAAUUACACAAAAUUUUUUUCUUGUGAAAACUUUUAAGAUCUAUUCUCUUAGUACCUUUAAUAGAAAACAAUACAGUAUUAUUAACUAAAGUCACAUUACUUUUUUUUUAUAAUUGGAAGUUUGAACCUUUUGACCCCCUUUACCAAACAUUUAUAUAUUUAUAAAAUUCAUUUAUAUAUUGUCAAUACAAGACCUUUGUCAAAUAUGUGUUCUGUAAAUAUUCUCUCCUUUUUUGUACUCUUGUAAUUGUCUUUAGCAGAGCAUAAAUUUUUAAUUUAUCCUUUUUUUUAAAUGUAUUACGCUUUUGCUAGUGUAUCAAAGAAGCUUUGCCUAAGCUGGUGAUUUUCAAAUGGGAGACAGUCUACCUAUCUUGAACAUUCGGCCAUGUCUGAAGUCAUUUUUGAUUGUUCUGAUUGGGGGUGGGGGUGCUGCUGGCAUCUAGUAGGACCAGAUCUGCUGUUAAACACCCUGCAGUGCACAGCAUGGCUCCUCACACAAAGAGCAAUUCAAAAACAGUGCCAAGGCUGAAACCUUGGCUUAACUCAAGGUCACAAAAUUUUGUUCUUUUACUUCUUUUUUAUUUUUAAGAAAUUUUCGCAAUUUUCUAUUCUGCAUGUAGGUUUAUGACUUAUUUUAAGUUUUGUAUAUGGUGGAAGGUAUGAGUUGAAGUUCUGUUUUAUUUUUUGGCAUGGAUGUCUGGUUAUUUCAAUAACAUUUGUUGAAAAGACUAUCCUUUGCCACUGAAUUACCUUUGAUUAUAAAUGCAUGGGUCUAUUUCUGGACUCUCUUCUGUUGCUCUAUUGUUUAUCUUUUCCCUAAUAGCAUAUGGUCUUGAUAAAUUGCUUUAUAGUAAGACUUGAAAUCAGAUAGUCUGAAGCUUAUAAUUUUAUACCUCUUUUUCAAAAUUGUUUCUGCUCGUCUAUUUUUUUUUUAAAUUUAUUUUUUCCACUGUACAGCAUGGGGACCAAGUUACACUUACAUGUAUACAUUUUUUUCCCUUCCUUUGUUCUGUUGCAAUAUAAGUAUCUAGACAUAGUUCUCAAUGCUACACAGAAGGAUCACAUUGUAAAUCCACUCCAAGAGCAAUAGUUUGCAUCCGAUAACCCCACGCUCCUGAUCCCUACCACCCCCUCCUUCUCCCCCCAGGUAGCCACUAGUCUAUUCUCCAAGACCAUGAUUUUCUUUUCUGUGGAAAUGUUCAUUUGUGCCAUAUAUUAGAUUCCAGUUAUAAGUGAUAUCAUACAGUAUUUGUCUUUGUCUUUCUGAUUAUUUCACUCAGUAUGAGAGUCUCUAGUUCCAUCCAUGUUGCUGUAAAUGGCAUUAUGUAAUUCUUUUUUAUGGCUGAGUAGUAUUCCUUUGUGUAUAUAUACCACAUCUUCCUAAUCCAAUCAUCUGUCGAUGGACAUUUUGGUUGUUUCCAUGUCUUGGCCAUUGUGAAUAGAGCUGCAAUGAACAUGCAGGUGCAUGUGCUUUUUUAAGGAAACUUUUGUCUGGAUAUAUGCCCAAGAGUGGGAUUGCUGGGUGAUAUGGUAGUUCUAUGUAUAGAUUUCUAAGGUAUCUCCAAACUGUUCUCCAUAGUGGCUGUACCAGCUUACAUUCCCACCAACAGUGCAGGAGGGGUUCCCUUUUCUUCACAACCCCUCCAGCACUUAUUCUUUUUGAUGGCAGCUUGUAGAGGUAUACUGAAUUCAUAUUUGAGUUGUGAAAUGGCCAACUGUUAAAUUCAAUAUUUGGUGAAAGCUGAGACUGAAGUUAAGUAUCACCACCACAGAAAGAGAACUUCCAGCAUAAAAGGAAAAAAAUUCAAGCUUUUAUUUUAAAAUGUAAUUAUUACUAUCACAUUUUUAUUAUUAAAAGUUUUGAUAGUCAUAUUUUACAAAUUGGAUAUUAUACUGUAGGGACAAUAAUUUCUGCAUAGCUUGAUUUGCUCCUAUAGUGAAUAUACUACAGAGAGCAGUCAUUAAAAACCUAUACAAAAAGAUAUACUCAGAACACUAUAGAUUGAUCAAAUUGGAAAAUCUAAAAAAAUUCAAUUAACUGACAAAAAAUGUAAGAGGAAGAAAACAGAGAAAUAAAAAACACAGAGACCAAACAAAACAAAAAAAUAAAAUGGUAAACUUAAGCCCUAAUGUUAAUAAUUACAUUAUAGGUAAGUGGUCUAAACACAACAACAAAAAUAUAGAGGUUGGUAGACUAGAUUAAAAACAUGGCUCUACUAAGUUUUGUCUAUAAGAAACUUAUUUCAAAUGUAAUGGUAUAGAUAGAUUGAAAGUAAAAGGACAGAGAGUUCCUGUUGUGGCACAGUGGUUUAUGAAUUCGACUGCAGUUCGGGUCUCUUUGGAGGCAUGGGUUUGAUCCCUGGCCUGGUGUAGUGGGUUAAAGGAUCCAGCAUUGCUGCAGCUGUGAUGUAGGUCACAGCUGCAGCUCAGAUUCAAUUCCUGGCCUGAUAACUUCAUAUGCUAUGGAUGCACCCAUUUAAAAAAAAAAAAGUGAAAGGACAGAAAUGUUAUAUCAUAAAACAUUAAUAAAAGGAAGUAAGAUAGACCAUGUUAAUAUUAAAUAAAGCAGGCUUCAGGGCAAACAAAAUCACCAGAGACAGAUUACAUAAUGACGAAAGGUCAAGCAAUCAUGGGCAUAUAGCAAUCCUAAAUACACACACACACACACACACACACACACACACUAACAAAAGACUUACAAAAUCUGUGAAGUAAAAACUGAUAGAACUAAAAGGAGAAAGAGACAAAUUCACAGUUACGGUCGAAGACUUCAACACACCUCUCUCAACAAUCAGAACAAGUAAAAAGAAAAUUAGCAAAGAUAUAGAAGAAAUCAAUACUACCAUCAACCAACUGGAUCUAAUUGACAUUUUGAGAACACCCUACUCAUAAAGAGUAGACUAUGCAUUCUUUUCAAGUGUCCAUGGAACAUAUACCAAGACAGACUGUGUCCUGGGCCAUUAAAGAAACUUAAACACUCUGAAAUCACAGGAGGGCAUUCUCUAAGCACAAUGGAAACAAGCUAGAACUCAAUCACAGAAAGAUAACAUAAAACUCCAAAUACUGGGAAAAUAAUCAAUAUACUUCUAAAUAAUCUGUGAGUCAAAGAGGAAGGCUUAAAGAAAAUUAAAAAUCUACAUUGAGCUGAAUCAAAAUGAAAACACAACAUACUAAAUUUAUAGGACACUGCUAAAGAAGUCCUGAAAGAGAAAUUUAUAGCACUAAACCCUGACAUUAUAAAAGAGAACUCUCUCUCAUGGAGUUCCCAUCGUGGCACAGCAGAAACGAUCUGACUAGGAACCAGGGGGUUGCUGGUUCAAUCCCUGACCUUGCUCAGUGGGUUAAGGAUCUGGCGUUGACAUGAGUUGUGGCAUAGGUCGCAGACACGGCUCAGAUCCUCCCUUGCUGUGGCUGUGGUGUAGGCUGGCAGCUCUAGCUCUGAUUCAACCACUAGCCUGGGAAUAUCCAUAUGCUGCUAGUGCAGCCCUAAAAAGCAAAAAAAAA
rnacentral:lncRNA from 1 species